UUCAGAACCAGGUGAUAGAGUAGAUGU
rnacentral:piRNA from 1 species